rnacentral:rRNA from 1 species
UACGUAGGGGGCGAGCGUUGUCCGGAUUUAUUGGGCGUAAAGAGCGCGCAGGCGGCUGGUCAAGUCCGAUGUGAAAGCUCCCGGCUUAACUGGGAAACGGCAUCGGAAACUGAUCGGCUUGAAGGUGGGAGAGGGUAGUGGAAUUCCCGGUGUAGUGGUGAAAUGCGUAGAUAUCGGGAGGAACACCAGUGGCGAAGGCGACUACCUGGCCCACUCUUGACGCUGAGGCGCGAAAGCUAGGGGAGCAAACGGG